AGAGUAAGGCGAACGGCCGCCUGUCAGCUUCGGUGUAGCCGGGGCGUGGACCGGAGGAAAGUCGGGGCUUCAGAGGGCAUGCUGGCUGAGAGAGACAGCUCCGGGUGACCGGGGGAAAGUGCCACAGAAAAGAAGACCGCCUGCCCUUGCGUCCGCAUAAGCGGGGGCGAGAGUAGGUAAGGGUGAAACGGCGGGGUAAGAGCCCACCGGCAGGGGGGUGACCUCCUGGCUUGGUAAACCCCAGCAGAAGCAAGACCAAAUAGAGAGGCGCGCGCCGUCUUGUCUUCAAGACGGUGCACAGCGCGGCCCGCGCUGAGCUUCUGGGUAAGGUCGCUUGAGCCGGGUGGUGACGCCCGGCCUAGAUGAAUGGCCGUUGUAGCCUAGCUACACAGAACCCCGCUUAUAGCCAGACUCUUCCC
rnacentral:RNase_P_RNA from 1 species